rnacentral:rRNA from 1 species
AGAGUUUGAUCAUGGCUCAGAUUGAACGCUGGCGGCAGGCCUAACACAUGCAAGUCGAACGGUAACAGGAAGCAGCUUGCUGCUUCGCUGACGAGUGGCGGACGGGUGAGUAAUGUCUGGGAAGCUGCCUGAUGGAGGGGGAUAACUACUGGAAACGGUAGCUAAUACCGCAUAAUGUCGCAAGACCAAAGAGGGGGACCUUCGGGCCUCUUGCCAUCGGAUGUGCCCAGAUGGGAUUAGCUUGUUGGUGGGGUGACGGCUCACCAAGGCGACGAUCCCUAGCUGGUCUGAGAGGAUGACCAGCCACACUGGAACUGAGACACGGUCCAGACUCCUACGGGAGGCAGCAGUGGGGAAUAUUGCACAAUGGGCGCAAGCCUGAUGCAGCCAUGCCGCGUGUAUGAAGAAGGCCUUCGGGUUGUAAAGUACUUUCAGCGGGGAGGAAGGGAGUAAAGUUAAUACCUUUGCUCAUUGACGUUACCCGCAGAAGAAGCACCGGCUAACUCCGUGCCAGCAGCCGCGGUAAUACGGAGGGUGCAAGCGUUAAUCGGAAUUACUGGGCGUAAAGCGCACGCAGGCGGUUUGUUAAGUCAGAUGUGAAAUCCCCGGGCUCAACCUGGGAACUGCAUCUGAUACUGGCAAGCUUGAGUCUCGUAGAGGGGGGUAGAAUUCCAGGUGUAGCGGUGAAAUGCGUAGAGAUCUGGAGGAAUACCGGUGGCGAAGGCGGCCCCCUGGACGAAGACUGACGCUCAGGUGCGAAAGCGUGGGGAGCAAACAGGAUUAGAUACCCUGGUAGUCCACGCCGUAAACGAUGUCGACUUGGAGGUUGUGCCCUUGAGGCGUGGCUUCCGGAGCUAACGCGUUAAGUCGACCGCCUGGGGAGUACGGCCGCAAGGUUAAAACUCAAAUGAAUUGACGGGGGCCCGCACAAGCGGUGGAGCAUGUGGUUUAAUUCGAUGCAACGCGAAGAACCUUACCUGGUCUUGACAUCCACGGAAGUUUUCAGAGAUGAGAAUGUGCCUUCGGGAACCGUGAGACAGGUGCUGCAUGGCUGUCGUCAGCUCGUGUUGUGAAUGUUGGGUUAAGUCCCGCAACGAGCGCAACCCUUAUCCUUUGUUGCCAGCGGUCCGGCCGGGAACUCAAAGGAGACUGCCAGUGAUAAACUGGAGGAAGGUGGGGAUGACGUCAAGUCAUCACGGCCCUUACGACCAGGGCUACACACGUGCUACAAUGGCGCAUACAAAGAGAAGCGACCUCGCGAGAGCAAGCGGACCUCAUAAAGUGCGUCGUAGUCCGGAUUGGAGUCUGCAACUCGACUCCAUGAAGUCGGAAUCGCUAGUAAUCGUGGAUCAGAAUGCCACGGUGAAUACGUUCCCGGGCCUUGUACACACCGCCCGUCACACCAUGGGAGUGGGUUGCAAAAGAAGUAGGUAGCUUAACCUUCGGGAGGGCGCUUACCACUUUGUGAUUCAUGACUGGGGUGAAGUCGGAACAAGGUAACCGUAGGGGAACCUGCGGUUG